GUCGCGGCCUUAAUCAGCUUGUUGGUGAGGUAGUGGCUCACCAAGGCGACGACGGGUAGCCGGCCUGAGAGGGCGACCGGCCACACUGGGACUGAGACACGGCCCAGACUCCUACGGGAGGCAGCAGUGGGGAAUAUUGCACAAUGGGCGAAAGCCUGAUGCAGCGACGCCGCGUGAGGGAUGACGGCCUUCGGGUUGUAAACCUCUUUCAGCAGGGAAGAAGCGAGAGUGACGGUACCUGCAGAAGAAGCGCCGGCUAACUACGUGCCAGCAGCCGCGGUAAUACGUAGGGCGCGAGCGUUGUCCGGAAUUAUUGGGCGUAAAGAGCUCGUAGGCGGCUUGUCACGUCGGAUGUGAAAGCCCGGGGCUUAACCCCGGGUCUGCAUUCGAUACGGGCAGGCUAGAGUUCGGUAGGGGAGAUCGGAAUUCCUGGUGUAGCGGUGAAAUGCGCAGAUAUCAGGAGGAACACCGGUGGCGAAGGCGGAUCUCUGGGCCGAUACUGACGCUGAGGAGCGAAAGCGUGGGGAGCGAACAGGAUUAGAUACCCUGGUAGUCCACGCCGUAAACGUUGGGAACUAGGUGUGGGCGACAUUCCACGUCGUCCGUGCCGCAGCUAACGCAUUAAGUUCCCCGCCUGGGGGAGUACGGAA
rnacentral:rRNA from 1 species